AGGCAACACAACCUGGUAAUCCAGCUACUACUGGUCAAGGAUCAGCAACAUUACAGGCCGAUGGUUUUAUGACAGGAGCUACUGGUACUUCAGCUGAUCUACCAAGUUCUCAAAGUGAAAGGGAUAGAGUUAGAAGAGUUGACCGUAUUGUACAAGCUUUUGUAGACUCUAGUAUCGGGACAACAGUUAUUGGUCUUGGAUUUACAAGAGGAGAUGUUGAAGAUGUUAUACGGAGACUACUCAGAACUGGAG